UGGAGCUGCACUUGGCGAGAAGGAAGUUGAAGCUACCAGAAACAACCUUGGAUGGCCUUAUGAGCCAUUCCAGGUACCUGAUGAAGUUAAAGGGUAAAUUUAACCUAAACUAAACGUCAUGUGUUUGCUUUGAUGAGAUGGCUCAAUGUAUGCUUUGCACUUUUCUAGCCACUGGAGCCGUCACACACCUAAAGGCAGUGCCCUUGAAUCUAACUGGAAUGCAACGUUAGCAUAUGAAAAGAAGUAUCCAGAGGAAGCUGCAGAGUUGAAAUGUGAAUUACCUGCUGGCUGGGAGAAGGCACUACCAGUAAGUUAAACUCUCAUCUUACAAUCCAGUUGCUAUAUUCUAGAUAUGUAGGUUUACAACAUCUUUGUCUUUUUACAGACAUACACACCAGAGUCUCCAGGAGAUGCCACC
rnacentral:lncRNA from 1 species